rnacentral:rRNA from 1 species
UAGGGAAUCUUCGGCAAUGGACGAAAGUCUGACCGAGCAACGCCGCGUGAGUGAAGAAGGUUUUCGGAUCGUAAAAACUCUGUUGGUAGAGAAGAACGUUGGUGAGAGUGGAAAGCUCAUCAAGUGACGGUAACUACCCAGAAAGGGACGGCUAACUACGUACCAG